GACGAACGCUGGCGGCGUGCUUAACACAUGCAAGUCGAACGGAAAGGCCCUGCUUUUGUGGGGUGCUCGAGUGGCGAACGGGUGAGUAACACGUGAGUAACCUGCCCUUGACUUUGGGAUAACUUCAGGAAACUGGGGCUAAUACCGGAUAGGAGCUCCUGCUGCAUGGUGAGGGUUGGAAAGUUUCGGCGGUUGGGGAUGGACUCGCGGCUUAUCAGCUUGUUGGUGGGGUAGUGGCUUACCAAGGCUUUGACGGGUAGCCGGCCUGAGAGGGUGACCGGCCACAUUGGGACUGAGAUACGGCCCAGACUCCUACGGGAGGCAGCAGUGGGGAAUAUUGCACAAUGGGCGGAAGCCUGAUGCAGCAACGCCGCGUGCGGGAUGACGGCCUUCGGGUUGUAAACCGCUUUCGCCUGUGACGAAGCGUGAGUGACGGUAAUGGGUAAAGAAGCACCGGCUAACUACGUGCCAGCAGCCGCGGUGAUACGUAGGGUGCGAGCGUUGUCCGGAUUUAUUGGGCGUAAAGGGCUCGUAGGUGGUUGAUCGCGUCGGAAGUGUAAUCUUGGGGCUUAACCCUGAGCGUGCUUUCGAUACGGGUUGACUUGAGGAAGGUAGGGGAGAAUGGAAUUCCUGGUGGAGCGGUGGAAUGCGCAGAUAUCAGGAGGAACACCAGUGGCGAAGGCGGUUCUCUGGGCCUUUCCUGACGCUGAGGAGCGAAAGCGUGGGGAGCGAACAGGCUUAGAUACCCUGGUAGUCCACGCUGUAAACGGUGGGUACUAGGUGUGGGGUCCAUUCCACGGGUUCCGUGCCGUAGCUAACGCUUUAAGUACCCCGCCUGGGGAGUACGGCCGCAAGGCUAAAACUCAAAGGAAUUGACGGGGCCCCGCACGAGCGGCGGAGCAUGCGGAUUAAUUCGAUGCAACGCGUAGAACCUUACCUGGGUUUGACAUGGAUCGGGAGUGCUCAGAGAUGGGUGUGCCUCUUUUGGGGUCGGUUCACAGGUGGUGCAUGGCUGUCGUCAGCUCGUGUCGUGAGAUGUUGGGUUAAGUCCCGCAACGAGCGCAACCCUUGUUCACUGUUGCCAGCACGUUAUGGUGGGGACUCAGUGGAGACCGCCGGGGUCAACUCGGAGGAGGGUGGGGAUGACGUCAAGUCAUCAUGCCCCUUAUGUCCAGGGCUUCGCGCAUGCUACAAUGGCUGGUACAGAGAGUGGCGAGCCUGUGAGGGUGAGCGAAUCUCGGAAAGCCGGUCUCAGUUCGGAUUGGGGUCUGCAACUCGACCUCAUGAAGUCGGAGUCGCUAGUAAUCGCAAAUCAGCAACGCUGCGGUGAAUACGUUCCCGGG
rnacentral:rRNA from 1 species